GAUGAACGCUGGCGGCGUGCCUAAUACAUGCAAGUCGAGCGAACGGACGAGAGGCUUGCUUCUCUGAUGUUAGCGGCGGACGGGUGAGUAACACGUGGAUAACCUACCUAUAAGACUGGGAUAACUUCGGGAAACCGGAGCUAAUACCGGAUAAUAUUUUGAACCGCAUGGUUCAAAAGUGAAAGACGGUCUUGCUGUCACUUAUAGAUGGAUCCGCGCUGCAUUAGCUAGUUGGUAAGGUAACGGCUUACCAAGGCAACGAUGCAUAGCCGACCUGAGAGGGUGAUCGGCCACACUGGAACUGAGACACGGUCCAGACUCCUACGGGAGGCAGCAGUAGGGAAUCUUCCGCAAUGGGCGAAAGCCUGACGGAGCAACGCCGCGUGAGUGAUGAAGGUCUACGGAUCGUAAAACUCUGUUAUUAGGGAAGAACAUAUGUGUAAGUAACUGUGCACAUCUUGACGGUACCUAAUCAGAAAGCCACGGCUAACUACGUG
rnacentral:rRNA from 1 species